CCGAUGUCCUUGUUUCCUCUGCAGUCUCAUCAGGACUUUCAUUUCUUUCUUUCUUGGAAACUUCGUUUUCCUCCUUACCACAUUCAGUUGAAGAAUGUGGUAAUGUUUCGAUUGCCCCAUCUUUUUCAUCAACUGCAGAUGAAUGUUGUGGAGAUUUAGGCUCCACCAAUGACUUCUCAUCCUUGGGUGGAUUAGGCUCCACCGAUGACUUCUCAACCGUAGGUGGAGACUUAGGCUCCACUGAUGAUGAUUCAACCUUAGGUGGAGAUUUAGGCUCCACUGAUGCUAUCUCAACCUUAGUUGAAGAUUCCGGUUCCGCUG
rnacentral:lncRNA from 1 species